GCUGGGUAUGGUGGCACAUGCCUGUAGUCCCAGCUACUUGAGAGGCUGAGGCAGCAGGAUCUCUUGAGCCCAGGAGCUCUGGGCUGUAGUACGCUCUGCUGGUGAGGUAUCCACACUAAGUUUGGCAUGAAUAUGGUGACCUCCCAGGAGAGGGAGUCACAAAUGGAACAGCUCAAAACUCCGGGGCUGGUCAGUAGUGGGACUGCACCCGUGAUUAGCCACUGCACUCCAGCCUGGGCAACAGUGAGACCCUCU
rnacentral:SRP_RNA from 1 species